rfam:Candidate division WOR-3 bacterium RBG_13_43_14 RBG_13_scaffold_51315, whole genome shotgun sequence.
GGGCGGUUAGCUCAGUUGGUUAGAGCGUCGGUCUCACAUACCGAAGGUCGCUGGUUCAAGUCCAGUACCGCCCA